rnacentral:rRNA from 1 species
CAAGUCGAGCGCACCUUCGGGUGAGCGGCGGACGGGUUAGUAACGCGUGGGAACAUACCCCUUUCUACGGAAUAGCCUCGGGAAACUGAGAGUAAUACCGUAUACGCCCUUCGGGGGAAAGAUUUAUCGGUGAGGGAUUGGCCCGCGUUAGAUUAGAUAGUUGGUGGAGUAAUGGCCUACCAAGUCUACGAUCUAUAGCUGGUUUUAGAGGACGAUCAGCAACACUGGGACUGAGACACGGCCCAG